rnacentral:rRNA from 1 species
AUUGAACGCUGGCGGCGGGCCUAACACAUGCAAGUCGAGCGGAGCGGCGGACGGGUGAGGAAGGCUAAGGAAUCUGCCUGGUAGUGGGGGAUAAGGUCCGGAAACGGGAGCUAAUACCGAAUACUAUCAGCUGAGCCUAGGUCGGAUUGGCUAGUGGGUGGGGUAAAGGCCUACCGAGGCGACGACCCGUAACUGGUCUGAGAGGAUGAUCAGGCACACUGGAACUGAGACACGGUCCAGACUCCUACGGGAGGCAGCAGUGGGGAAUAUUGGGCAAUGGUCGAAAGCCUGAUGCAGCCACGCCGCGGGUGUGAAGAAGGUCUUCGGAUUGUAAAGCACUGUAAUUAGGGAGGCGUUACCUGCAGAAUAAGCACCGGCUAACUACGUGCCAGCAGCCGCGGUAAUAC